rnacentral:rRNA from 1 species
AGAGUUUGAUCCUGGCUCAGAUUGAACGCUGGCGGCAUGCCUUACACAUGCAAGUCGAACGGUAACGCGGGGCAACCUGGCGACGAGUGGCGAACGGGUGAGUAAUACAUCGGAACGUGCCCAGUAGUGGGGGAUAGCCCGGCGAAAGCCGGAUUAAUACCGCAUACGACCUACGGGUGAAAGCGGGGGAUCGCAAGACCUCGCGCUAUUGGAGCGGCCGAUGUCAGAUUAGGUAGUUGGUGGGGUAAAGGCCUACCAAGCCGACGAUCUGUAGCUGGUCUGAGAGGACGACCAGCCACACUGGGACUGAGACACGGCCCAGACUCCUACGGGAGGCAGCAGUGGGGAAUUUUGGACAAUGGGGGCAACCCUGAUCCAGCCAUGCCGCGUGCGGGAAGAAGGCCUUCGGGUUGUAAACCGCUUUUGUCAGGGAAGAAACGCGCUGGGCUAAUACCUUGGCGUAAUGACGGUACCUGAAGAAUAAGCACCGGCUAACUAGUGCCAGCAGCCGCGGUAAUAC